rnacentral:rRNA from 1 species
CAAAAAUGUACGCAAAUGUUGUUGUGGUUAAAAAGCUCGUAGUUGAAUCUCGGCAAGCUGGGGGCGGUGCGUUCAUUCGACGUCACUGCCCCAUUUGCUUGUGAAUAUUGAUGGAGGUGUUGGGGUGCUCUUAACCGAGUGUCCCAGUGCGCCGUCAGGUUUACUUUGAAAAAAUUAGAGUGCUCAAAGCAGGCCUUACCGCUUGAAUAUUCGUGCAUGGAAUAAUGGAAUAGGACGUCGUUUCUAUUUUGUUGGUUUUCGGAAAUCGACGUAAUGAUGAAUAGGGACAGUCGGGGGGCAUUAGUAUUCAGACGACAGAGGUGAAAUUCUUGGACCGUCUGAAGACUAACUACUGCGAAAGCAUUUGCCAAGAAUGUUUUUCAUUAAUCAAGAACGAAAGUUAGAGGUUCGAAGACGAUUAGAUACCAU